rnacentral:rRNA from 1 species
UACGUAGGGGCUGCACGUUGUCCGGAAUCAUUGGGCGUAAAGCGCGUGUAGGCGGUCCGGUAAGUCCGCUGUGAAAGUCGGGGGCUCAACCCUCGAAUGCCGGUGGAUACUGUCGGGCUAGAGUGCGGAAGAGGCGAGUGGAAUUCCUGGUGUAGCGGUGAAAUGCGCAGAUAUCAGGAGGAACACCUAUUGCGAAGGCAGCUCGCUGGGACGUAACUGACGCUGAGACGCCGAAAGCGUGGGAGGCAAA